UCUCCGUUGGUGAACCAGCGGAGGGAUCAUUACAGAGUUUGUCAUAACUCCCAAACCCAUGUGAACAUACCCUACGUUUCCUCGGCAGGUCGCGCACGUCUACCCCGUAGCCCCCCUACCCUGUAGGAGCCUACCCGCUAGCCGCGUGUAAACCUGGCGGCGGCCCAUGCAAAUCUGUUUUUUUACGCCCUGAAUUCUGAAAACAAAAACAAAAUAAGUUAAACCUUUCAACAACGGAUCUCUUGGUUCUG
rnacentral:misc_RNA from 1 species